rnacentral:rRNA from 1 species
UUAGUGGCGGACGGGUGAGUAACGCGUGGGAACGUACCCUUCUCUACGGAACAGUCCUGGGAAACUGGGUUUAAUACCGUAUACGCUCUUCGGAGGAAAGAUUUAUCGGAGAAGGAUCGGCCCGCGUUGGAUUAGGUAGUUGGUGGGGUAAUGGCCUACCAAGCCUACGAUCCAUAGCUGGUUUGAGAGGAUGAUCAGCCACACUGGGACUGAGACACGGCCCAGACUCCUACGGGAGGCAGCAGUGGGGAAUCUUAGACAAUGGGGGCAACCCUGAUCUAGCCAUGCCGCGUGAUCGAUGAAGGCCUUAGGGUUGUAAAGAUCUUUCGCUGGGGAAGAUAAUGACGGUACCCAGUAAAGAAGCCCCGGCUAACUCCGUGCCAGCAGCCGCGGUAAUACGGAGGGGGCUAGCGUUGUUCGGAAUUACUGGGCGUAAAGCGCGCGUAGGCGGAUUGGAAAGUUGGGGGUGAAAUCCCGGGGCUCAACCCUGGA